rnacentral:tRNA from 1 species
GCCUUCGUGGUGUAAUAGUCAGCACACUGGGUUCGCAUUCGAGAGGUCCGUGGUUCGAGUCCCGGGGAGUGCA